rnacentral:rRNA from 1 species
GAUGAACGCUGACAGCAUGCUUAACACAUGCGAGUCAACUUGAAUUUGGGUUUUUAACUUAGGUUUGGGUGGCGGACGGGUGAGUAACGCGUAAAGAACUUGCCUCACAGCUAGGGACAACAUUUGGAAACGAAUGCUAAUACCUAAUAUUAUGAUAAUAGGGCAUCCUAUAAUUAUGAAAGCUAUAAGCGCUGUGAGAGGGCUUUGCGUCCCAUUAGCUAGUUGGAGAGGUAACGGCUCACCAAGGCGAUGAUGGGUAGCCGGCCUGAGAGGGUGAUCGGCCACAAGGGGACUGAGACACGGCCCUUACUCCUACGGGAGGCAGCAGUGGGGAAUAUUGGACAAUGGACCGAGAGUCUGAUCCAGCAAUUCUGUGUGCACGAUGAAGUUUUUCGGAAUGUAAAGUGCUUUCAGUUGGGAAGAAACAAAUGACGGUACCAACAGAAGAAGUGACGGCUAAAUACGUG